CAGUAGCCGCGGUAAUACGAAGGGGGCUAGCGUUGCUCGGAAUUACUGGGCGUAAAGCGCACGUAGGCGGACCGAUAAGUCGGGGGUGAAAUCCUGGAGCUCAACUCCAGAACUGCCUUCGAAACUGCCGGUCUUGAGUUCGGGAGAGGUGAGUGGAACUGCGAGUGUAGAGGUGAAAUUCGUAGAUAUUCGCAAGAACACCAGUGGCGAAGGCGGCUCACUGGCCCGAUACUGACGCUGAGGUGCGAAAGCGUGGGGAGCAAACAGGAUUAGAUACCGCGUAGUCCCUGUCUCUUAUACA
rnacentral:rRNA from 1 species